rnacentral:lncRNA from 1 species
CCUUCUUCUUCUUCUUCUCCUUCUUCGUUGUAGAUGGACAGCACCUCUACUAUAUUGGCGUGUGGAAAUAUGGGAUGCCCAACCCUUGGAUGUGGAAGAGAAGAGAGGGAGGUGAGGAGGCAUGAAGAAGGGAGAGAGAGAGAUUUUUUCUCACAAAAAUUCUAUUUCAUAGAAACCCUAAAGACAUUCUCUUUAUAUAGACACUAUCCUGACUCAUAAUAGGAAUCCAAUUAUCUUAAAAAGAUAUAUUCU